GACGAACGCUGGCGGCGUGCUUAACACAUGCAAGUCGAGCGGUAAGGCCCUUUCGGGGGUACACGAGCGGCGAACGGGUGAGUAACACGUGGGCGACCUACCCUCAGCUUCGGGAUAAGCCUGGGAAACUGGGUCUAAUACCGGAUAUGACCACAUGUCGCAUGGUGUGUGGUGGAAAGUUUUUUCGGCUGGGGAGUGGGCCCGCGGCCUAUCAGCUUGUUGGUGGGGUGAUGGCCUACCAAGGCGACGACGGGUAGCCGGCCUGAGAGGGCGACCGGCCACACUGGGACUGAGACACGGCCCAGACUCCUACGGGAGGCAGCAGUGGGGAAUAUUGCACAAUGGGCGAAAGCCUGAUGCAGCGACGCCGCGUGAGGAU
rnacentral:rRNA from 1 species